UAGGACUUUACCGUCAUAAACCAUCGUGAACCUUACUUCAACGUUGCCUCGGCGGGUGUCGCGGCGGGGGACUACGCGUCCCGCGCCCGGCGCCAAACCCGCCGGCGGCCCGCAACUCUUGCUUCUAGCUGUAUCUCUGAGCACUAUACAUAAAUGAGUCA
rnacentral:misc_RNA from 1 species